GACGGACGCUGGCGGCGUGCCUAACACAUGCAAGUCGAGCGAGUGAAUCUCCUUCGGGAGUGAAGCUAGCGGCGGACGGGUGAGUAACACGUGGGCAACCUGCCUCAUAGAGGGGAAUAGCCUUCCGAAAGGAAGAUUAAUACCGCAUAAGAUUGUAGCUUCGCAUGAAGUAGCAAUUAAAGGAGCAAUCCGCUAUGAGAUGGGCCCGCGGCGCCUUAGCUAGUGGGUGAGGUAACGGCUCACCAAGGCGACGAUGCGUAGCCGACCUGAGAGGGUGAUCGGCCACAUUGGGACUGAGACACGGCCCAGACUCCUACGGGAGGCAGCAGUGGGGAAUAUUGCACAAUGGGGGAAACCCUGAUGCAGCAACGCCGCGUGAGUGAUGACGGCCUUCGGGUUGUAAAGCUCUGUCUUCAGGGACGAUAAUGACGGUACCUGAGGAGGAAGCCACGGCUAACUACGUGCCAGCCGCCGCCGUAACAC
rnacentral:rRNA from 1 species